GAUGAACGCUGGCGGCGUGCUUAACACAUGCAAGUCGAACGGAAAGGCUCCUGCUUGCAGGGGCACUCGAGUGGCGAACGGGUGAGUAACACGUGGGUGAUCUGCCCUGCACUUCGGGAUAAGCCUGGGAAACUGGGUCUAAUACCGGAUAGGACCAUCGUUUAGUGUCGGUGGUGGAAAGUUUUUUCGGUGUGGGAUGAGCUCGCGGCCUAUCAGCUUGUUGGUGGGGUAAUGGCCUACCAAGGCGUCGACGGGUAGCCGGCCUGAGAGGGUGUACGGCCACAUUGGGACUGAGAUACGGCCCAGACACCUACGGGAGGCAGCAGUGGGGAAUAUUGCACAAUGGGCGCAAGCCUGAUGCAGCGACGCCGCGUGGGGGAUGACGGCCUUCGGGUUGUAAACUCCUUUCGCCAGGGACGAAGCGAAAGUGACGGUACCUGGAUAAGAAGCACCGGCUAACUACGUG
rnacentral:rRNA from 1 species